GAUGAAGAACGCAGCAAAAUGCGAUAAGUAAUGUGAAUUGCAGAAUUCAGUGAAUCAUCGAAUCUUUGAACGCACAUUGCGCCCGCCAGUAUUCUGGCGGGCAUGCCUGUUCGAGCGUCAUUUCAACCCUCAAGCACAGCUUGGUGUUGGGACUCGCGUUAAUUCGCGUUCCCCAAAUUGAUUGGCGGUCACGUCGAGCUUCCAUAGCGUAGUAGUAAAACCCUCGUUACUGGUAGUCGUCGCGGCCACGCCGUUAAACCCCAACUUCUGAAUGUUGACCUCGGAUCAUGUAGGAAUACCCGCUGAACUUAAGCAUAUAAUAAGCGGAGGA
rnacentral:misc_RNA from 1 species